AGAGUUUGAUCAUGGCUCAGAUUGAACGCUGGCGGCAGGCCUAACACAUGCAAGUCGAGCGGUAGCACAGAGAGCUUGCUCUCGGGUGACGAGCGGCGGACGGGUGAGUAAUGUCUGGGAAACUGCCUGAUGGAGGGGGAUAACUACUGGAAACGGUAGCUAAUACCGCAUAACGUCGCAAGACCAAAGUGGGGGACCUUCGGGCCUCAUGCCAUCAGAUGUGCCCAGAUGGGAUUAGCUAGUAGGUGGGGUAACGGCUCACCUAGGCGACGAUCCCUAGCUGGUCUGAGAGGAUGACCAGCCACACUGGAACUGAGACACGGUCCAGACUCCUACGGGAGGCAGCAGUGGGGAAUAUUGCACAAUGGGCGCAAGCCUGAUGCAGCCAUGCCGCGUGUGUGAAGAAGGCCUUCGGGUUGUAAAGCACUUUCAGCGGGGAGGAAGGCGGUAAGGUUAAUAACCUCAUCGAUUGACGUUACCCGCAGAAGAAGCACCGGCUAACUCCGUGCCAGCAGCCGCGGUAAUACGGAGGGUGCAAGCGUUAAUCGGAAUUACUGGGCGUAAAGCGCACGCAGGCGGUCUGUCAAGUCGGAUGUGAAAUCCCCGGGCUCAACCUGGGAACUGCAUUCGAAACUGGCAGGCUAGAGUCUUGUAGAGGGGGGUAGAAUUCCAGGUGUAGCGGUGAAAUGCGUAGAGAUCUGGAGGAAUACCGGUGGCGAAGGCGGCCCCCUGGACAAAGACUGACGCUCAGGUGCGAAAGCGUGGGGAGCAAACAGGAUUAGAUACCCUGGUAGUCCACGCCGUAAACGAUGUCGAUUUGGAGGUUGUGCCCUUGAGGCGUGGCUUCCGGAGCUAACGCGUUAAAUCGACCGCCUGGGGAGUACGGCCGCAAGGUUAAAACUCAAAUGAAUUGACGGGGGCCCGCACAAGCGGUGGAGCAUGUGGUUUAAUUCGAUGCAACGCGAAGAACCUUACCUGGUCUUGACAUCCACAGAACUUAGCAGAGAUGCUUUGGUGCCUUCGGGAACUGUGAGACAGGUGCUGCAUGGCUGUCGUCAGCUCGUGUUGUGAAAUGUUGGGUUAAGUCCCGCAACGAGCGCAACCCUUAUCCUUUGUUGCCAGCGGUCCGGCCGGGAACUCAAAGGAGACUGCCAGUGAUAAACUGGAGGAAGGUGGGGAUGACGUCAAGUCAUCAUGGCCCUUACGACCAGGGCUACACACGUGCUACAAUGGCAUAUACAAAGAGAAGCGACCUCGCGAGAGCAAGCGGACCUCAUAAAGUAUGUCGUAGUCCGGAUUGGAGUCUGCAACUCGACUCCAUGAAGUCGGAAUCGCUAGUAAUCGUAGAUCAGAAUGCUACGGUGAAUACGUUCCCGGGCCUUGUACACACCGCCCGUCACACCAUGGGAGUGGGUUGCAAAAGAAGUAGGUAGCUUAACCUUCGGGAGGGCGCUUACCACUUUGUGAUUCAUGACUGGGGUGAAGUCGUAACAAGGUAACCGUAGGGGAACCUGCGGUUGGAUCACCU
rnacentral:rRNA from 1 species